rnacentral:rRNA from 1 species
AUGGGCUUCCUCCAUGGCCGUAACAUUGCCGAAAACUUCAUUUAUGCUGCAGAUAUUCUCAGUACGUGCCACACUCGCAAAGCACAGAUAAUGGUUUUUAAGUUGGACUUCAGAAAGGCAUUUGACUCCAUAAGCUGGACCUCCCUCAUUCAAAUCCUAACAGUACGUGGCUUUCCCUCCAUCUUCUGCGAUUGGGUCCAAAAUAUCCUCUCCACUGGCAAAACGGUUGUUCUCUUGAAUGGUGUUCCAGGGCCCUGGAUUCAAUGUGGAUGUGGACUUAGACAAGGGGACCCAUUCUCUCCGUAUCUGUUCAUCAUUGUCGCGGAUGUUCUCCAAAGAUUAAUU